rnacentral:rRNA from 1 species
UCCAGACUCCUACGGGAGGCAGCAGUGAGGAAUAUUGGUCAAUGGGCGCGAGCCUGAACCAGCCAAGUCGCGUGAGGGAUGAAGGAUCUAUGGUUCGUAAACCUCUUUUAUAAGGGAAUAAAGUGCGGGACGCGUCCCGCUUCGCAUGUACCUUAUGAAUAAGGAUCGGCUAACUCCGUGCCAGCAGCCGCGGUAAUACGGAGGAUCCGAGCGUUAUCCGGGUUUAUUGGGUUUAAAGGGUGCGUAGGCGGCCUUUUAAGUCAGCGGUGAAAGUCUGUGGCUCAACCAUAGAAUUGCCGUUGAAACUGGCGUUCUUGAGUGGGCGAGAAGUAUGCGGAAUGCGUGGUGUAGCGGUGAAAUGCAUAGAUAUCACGCAGAACUCCGAUUGCGAAGGCAGCAUACCGGCGCCCAACUGACGCUGAAGCACGAAAGCGUGGGUAUCGAACAGGAUUAGAUACCCUAGUAAG